UACAGAGGGGGCAAGCGUUAUUCGGAAUUAUUGGGCGUAAAGGGCGCGUAGGCGGCGACACAAGUGGAAGGUGAAAUCCCUCGGCUCAACCGAGGAACUGCCUUUCAAACUGUGUUGCUUGAGUCCGGGAGAGGUGAGUGGAAUUCCCAGUGUAGCGGUGAAAUGCGUAGAUAUUGGGAGGAACACCAGUGGCGAAGGCGGCUCACUGGACCGGAACUGACGCUGAGGCGCGAAAGCGUGGGGAGCAAAC
rnacentral:rRNA from 1 species